rnacentral:rRNA from 1 species
GUAGGGCGCAAGCGUUAUCCGGAAUUAUUGGGCGUAAAGAGCUCGUAGGCGGUUUGUCGCGUCUGCCGUGAAAGUCCGGGGCCCAACCCCGGAUCUGCGGUGGGUACGGGCAGACUAGAGUGAUGUAGGGGAGACUGGAAUUCCUGGUGUAGCGGUGAAAUGCGCAGAUAUCAGGAGGAACACCGAUGGCGAAGGCAGGUCUCUGGGCAUUAACUGACGCUGAGGAGCGAAAGCAUGGGGAGCGAACAGGAUUAGAUACCCUGGUAGUCCAUGCCGUAAACGUUGGGCACUAGGUGUGGGGGACAUUCCACGUUUUCCGCGCCGUAGCUAACGCAUUAAGUGCCCCGCCUGGGGAGUACGGCCGCAAGGCUA